GAAUAUAUAUUUUUCUGUCUCCUUGAUCAACCAAUGAGUGGUCGGAUUACUUUAUCAUUAUUGAUACAUAAUGAUUAAGAAAAAGUCUAUGUGGUUUGAUUUCUUUGAGUGAACGAGAGAUCAUAUCUAAUCAAAUAUGUGCUUGUAUUUGAUCCAUAAAACAACAAUGCAAACAUCUUUGGUCUUCAUUCCUUCAGCUCGUGAGCUACUUUCGAUGGAAAGCUGGAAGGUGGAGGGGGAAUAUGCUUGUAGUCGUGGUUCUCGAGCGUGCGGACUCUCGUUUACGGAGGUUGAGCGGAUGAUAAUCAUUGAAAAGGUCUGUCUCACUUUUGUUGUUUUGCAGGUUGAAGAAAUCCUUAUUAUCAUGAAAUGAUAAUAGUAUAUUUCUGUUUAUCGUUGUCUUCAUCCUUCAGUGAGAAGUCUUGUUGAGCUGCUUUGCCGGAAGAAGGGUUCUGGCCUGGUCAAAUACGCGACCGUAACGAGAAGAAAAUAACGAGCAUAUUAGUGGUCUCUAAGAGCUCGUACUCUUCGUCUUUGGAAAGUGAAGGGCUCCGGUUUCUCGAUGCUCCCUCGUAUCGGGAUCUUGAGAAUUGGAUGUACUUAGUCUUUGUACACAGUCUAGGCGUGCUCGAGAUUAAUUCGAUCUCUUCGAGAUUCUUCCUCACUUCGGGUCAUUUAUUGAUCGAGGAAGUCGUUGCUCGGCGCGCGGCGAAGUUUUUUUCUUCGUCUUGUUCAAAGCUGUCCAAGACUUUAAUUGCAAAUUUUUGGAGCUUACGGUCUGUUCAGGAUGACAUCCUGCAUUCUUCAGGCUUACACCAUAUAGAUUGAUAUUCGUUUGACAGAUUGAUGUCGAGCUCACUGAACUCGGGAGGUCGGGCGAUCAGCAUUCAUCCUCGGUCUACUAUGGUUCGAGGGCGUUAUCGGUGAAACUCGGCGAGGUGAAUUUCUUUUAUCAGUAACGGAGAUUUGAUUUGGUUGAGGUCGGAAUAGAAUCUCGUGUUUCAUUUCUUGUUUAUGAUCUAGUAAGAUCAUUGCUACCGCGCGUGGUGUGAUGGCUCGUUUGGUGCAGUAUCGGACACCAUAUGAGAUGGAUCCAUUUUCGUGCUUACAAACCUUAGAUCGGGUUCCUAGCAAGGACGUUUUUUGUUUAUCUUCCCCACAGUCGGCGCUGUAUUCAUGUUAUUAUCAUCGUGUAGAGAAAAAGUCUUAUCCUCAUUCAUUUGCAUGAAUAGGUUUCUCGUCGUCUAAAAUACAUUCGGUUUGGUAAAUAUAUCUUCGUAUUCACUUUAUGAGAUAAACAUAAGGAAUAUAUAUUUUUCUGUCUCCUUGAUCAACCAAUGAGUGGUCGGAUUACUUUAUCAUUAUUGAUACAUAAUGAUUAAGAAAAAGUCUAUGUGGUUUGAUUUCUUUGAGUGAACGAGAGAUCAUAUCUAAUCAAAUAUGUGCUUGUAUUUGAUCCAUAAAACAACAAUGCAAACAUCUUUGGUCUUCAUUCCUUCAGCUCGUGAGCUACUUUCGAUGGAAAGCUGGAAGGUGGAGGGGGAAUAUGCUUGUAGUCGUGGUUCUCGAGCGUGCGGACUCUCGUUUACGGAGGUUGAGCGGAUGAUAAUCAUUGAAAAGGUCUGUCUCACUUUUGUUGUUUUGCAGGUUGAAGAAAUCCUUAUUAUCAUGAAAUGAUAAUAGUAUAUUUCUGUUUAUCGUUGUCUUCAUCCUUCAGUGAGAAGUCUUGUUGAGCUGCUUUGCCGGAAGAAGGGUUCUGGCCUGGUCAAAUACGC
rnacentral:lncRNA from 1 species